UGCAAAAAGCAACAACAAAAAAAAACUUACCGCAUAUAGGUGUAGGACUUUUGUCGUCUUUUUCGAUAAUGUUGUCCUCGAGCAAGUCUUCGGUGUGGAGAGUAUUUUGUGGGAAAAACCCCUCUUCUUUCACCGCGAGCAAGCCUUCAGCCUCCGCUGGAACGUCAUUGUUCUUCAAUGUCAACCUCCUCGACACUUUUUGGCGGGAGACCCGUUAAAGGCGUCCAACGCGCCAGAGGCGUAAAAGAAACAUCUGAGCACGGAGACUGGCACGAAAAAACCAACGA